GCAUGGGUUUGGAUUUAUGGCAGGCCUCCCCCUGGGUCUCUCAGAGAGCCCUAUGCCAGAGUAAACUGCAGCCUUGAACCAUUGCCUGGCCUCUUCCCAUAGGCUACCAGCCAUGAAGUGGGUUGCACAAUG